rnacentral:tRNA from 2 species
GGUCGGGGUUCCCGAGCGGCCAAAGGGAGCAGACUGUAAAUCUGCCGUCAUCGACUUCGAAGGUUCGAAUCCUUCCCCCACCACCA